CCCUUUGGAAACCUCAAAAUGAUUAUCAGCAGCAGCGUCCGUACAUGUUUCCCACGCUUUCCAUCCUCGUCGGACAAGCAUGUCCUCCGUUCCGCGGUCAAGUUUACCUUCAGUCUCCGGCGCCGACCCUUCACCACCUUCUGCUCUGUUUCGGCCACCCAGAACAAGAAGAAGGAUAAGGAGAAGGUGAUAGUGGUCUCUGGGCCUACCGGAGCAGGGAAGAGCCGGCUGGCCCUCGAGCUCGCUAAGCUUCUUAACGGCGAGAUUAUCAGCGCCGACUCCGUCCAGGUAUAUCGGGGUCUUGACAUUGGAUCAGCGAAGCCUUCUCCAGGUGAUAGAAAGGAAGUACCGCAUCAUCUUGUUGACAUAUUGCACCCGUCUGAAGACUACUCUGUUGGACAAUUUUAUGAUGAUGCAAGGGAAGCUACGAGGUGUAUUCUUGAUAAUGGUCGCGUCCCCAUAGUUACCGGUGGCACUGGAUUGUACUUGCGUUGGUUAAUAUAUGGGAAACCAGAUGUUCCCAAAGCCUCGAAAGAGAUCGCAUCUGAAGUGUAUUCUGAGUUGGCAGAGUUAGAAAGAAAUGGACACUGGGAUGCAGCUGUGCAGUUGGUGGUUGACGCAGGUGACCCUAAGGCUGAACUUUUGGCUGCUAACGAUUGGUACCGAUUAAGACGCCGCCUUGAGAUCAUCAAGUCUAGUGGAUCACCUCCAUCUGCAUUUGAAGUACCUUAUGAUUCUUUCCGCAAAGAAUGUGAUUCUAGUGUAGUAGACGCUCAUGACAUCAGCUCCACUGGUGAUUUUGUGGGGGAAGUUAAAUCAAAGGAAUUGGACUAUGAUUUCAUUUGCUUUUUCCUCUCAAACCGAAGGGUUGAUCUGUACAGAUCCAUUGAUUGGCGAUGUGAAGAUAUGGUAUCAGGCAAGUCAUACUGGGGAAGUGAUGGUAUUUUGUCUGAGGCAAGAUGGCUUCUUGAUGCGGGUCUUCUUCCAAAUUCCAAUUCAGCAACCAGAGCAAUUGGCUACAGACAAGCUAUGGAGUAUUUAUUAUUGUGUAGGGAGCAAGGAGGUAGUUCUUCACCAAGAGAGUUCUACAACUUUUUGACUCAAUUUCAGAAGGCAUCUAGAAAUUUUGCAAAACGGCAAUUGACAUGGUUUCGUAAUGAGCAAAUAUAUCACUGGCUUGACGCUUCCAAACCCUUGUUCUUAACUUUAUUUGUGAUGCGUAUCAUGACAAAAGUGGAAACUGGGUUGUGCCUGAAUCAUUGAAAUUGAAGAAAGAACUGUCAAGCCACCGUGAAGAGUCUGAGCUAAAAAGCUAUCGAACUAAAAACAGGCUUUUAAUCAAACGUGAAGAUUGUUCAGAUAUUCUAGACUGGAUACAGAAAACACAAGGCUGUAACAUUGAAGUGUGAUUUAAUCAUUCACUUCCUUGGAGCUUCAAUUUUACCAAAGCAUUCAAUGUCAGACGAUCAUCCACAACUUUACCUCAGUUGCAAUAAAUCUUUUCCUUACCGGCUGAAAAAUCUCGUCACACAUUAGUGUCGGCGUGAAUUCGGCCGGGAAUCACGGCCCGUGAUU